GGCCCUAUGUGCUCUUUCAAAUUAACAUGUGGUGGAGCCUCGUUCUGUAGUAAGCUCUUGAACAGGCCGAGAGUACUUCCUCCACCCUCUCUCCGCCGUCCACCUCCGACACUCCUCUGACCUGUAUAUUGCUCCUGCGGCCCCUAUUAUCCUCCAGCAUGCGUCUCAUGUUGAGAAGUAGUUCUCCCUGUCGGGAGAUCACCGUGUCUGUCGAAGUGAUCCUGGCAGACUGUAUUUCGAGUGAUUGUUC